AAAAAAAAUUUUUUCCGCGUAAUGCUACAACUUCAAAAUUGAUUCACAACUGUGAUUGUUCUACAUCUAUAUUACGUUCUUGAAACGUUCUAGAUCUGAUCUCUGUUGUAGCUUUUAGUAUUUUUUGAAAACAUGAAGAACAGCCUUAACAGCACGUUUAUUAUAUAUUUUAUGGUCACUUUUGUAUUAAUAUCAACUUUUGUCACGAUGGUGGUUUCUGAAGCUUCUAUUACACGAGAUCCCUGUCCUCAUGGUUACAAAUUAGUUGAAGGACAGUGCCGCAAAGAAUUCCAGUUCGGUUCCAGAUAUGGUUAAACACAAAUACAUGAGAAUCUGACAACAAUGUGAUCACAGUUAAUAUGUCGAGAAAAAUGUAAUACAAAUGAAUGUUGCAAAUGUAAAAAUACAAAAAAAAUAAACUACAAUUGCAUAAU